CGAAGCUCUUCACUCCUUAUGCCGUUAAAAGCCAAGAGGGCUUCCCACAAUCCAUCAGUUUAAUCCGGACACCUGCACAAUGCGAGCAUUCCUCCUCCUGCUGGCCUGGACCAUGCUGCUCUCAGCCACCAACGCCAAAGUGUACUACCCAAAUAGAGUGUGCUACGCCGAUGGGAAAACAGUGAGCCACGGUGAAACCUGGACUACAUCGGACUGCCGUCUGGGCAAAUGCACUAAUGGUUACAUCACUUACCAGGAAUGUGAUGCGCAGCCGCCAAACGAUCCAUUGUGUGGCUUCUCCCAAGAUCUGGCUUUGCCUUACCCGGGCUGCUGCCCUAUUAUAUAUUGCAUCUGACCUGUCAACCACCACGACCUCACUCUGCCUGGACCUAGACCUGACCAGAUGACCAUCUCUAAUUACGCAUAAGACAUUAAUAUAAUAUUUACAAUAUAUGUUUACAUUUCCAGCAGUUACGAUUGGUACGACUAAUACUUCUAAGAGGAUUAUGAACAUUAAUGUUACCAAAAUGACUUGUAAUAAAACUCACUUAGCAGCCUGUACUGCAUAAAAAUACAUAAAUAAAGAUGAUUAAAGAAAUUAAGCAAAAUUUUACCAUGAGAAAUAAUAAACAAUUGAAGACUGAUGAAAUUAUUUCCUGUGAUGCAUUUACAUCAUGUAGUAGCUUAUUCAAUGUAAUCCGUACAGUGUAAUACGUACAGAUUGUGCGUAGAUUGUCUGCCGACUGAUCUUUGACUCCCGACUGUCUUACGACUGUUCUUUUUUAUUCAUUACACGUGGACAAGGAAUGGGAAAGAUCAAAAGGAGUGAAAACAGACACAGGGAUCAUAGUGGACUAUUGUGAUAAUUCUAGAAAGAAAAGAAGGUAGUGUGUGUACAGGUGGGCUGAGGUCAGAUAAUCUGAGUGUGACAUUUCACUGAGAUAAUAGUUGUAUUAGUAUUAGUAUUAGUGGUAGUAGCAGUAGUAGUAGUAGUAGUAGUAGUAGUAGUACGAAUAAUAGCAGUAGUAGUGGUGGUGAUACGUAGUAGUGCAGUAGUAAUAAUAGUAAUACGUACGUAUGAUAUGAUAGUUUAAAAAUCUAGCUAAGAAAGAACACUCUCUCUCUCUCUCUCUCUCUCUCUCUCUCUGUUUUCACAGAUUAAUACUACUUUAUUGUCUGCAAUCUUUUCUCUAUAGCCAAUAGCAGUCACGAACACUCCUCAUAGUACAAGGAUCAGCAGCUCAGACUCAAAAGCAAUUUUCUGCAGUGUAAAUGAAUUGUUAAUCAGUCUUGUUUAGUGUUCCAUUUAUGUAAUCCAAGCAGAUUGAUCUGCCUUUAAUUGUUAGUUUCCUAAUGAUUCCCUGGGGGAUAUAGUGCUGAUAGCAACUUAAUGUUCAGUACAAUUAUGGAAGACACGUCAUGAUGGGAAUCACUUUGCUUCCAAGUAGCCACUCCUGUAUAUUUAAAACUUACUCAUACUGCUGAAAAAGACUCCAGAAACACGUGCUAGGAAGAAACAGGCAAAACUGAUGCCACACAUGAGGGUUAAUUUUGUGGGCACACAAUUGCCUUCAAGACGAAAGCCACCCAUUGUUUUCCAGAAUAUUACAACACUCAGAUCGGAGCUUUGCUUAUCUCAAAUCUCCCGGAAGACGGGCCUCGUCUCCUACAAAUUGAUGGGUUCGGAGAGGAAAGGGACAGCUGAGUACGAAACAGCACACUAAAUAAAGACUUUCCCCUGGCCACAAGCAAACACAAAUUAUAUCAUAAAGCCAGUCUCAUUUAACUAAGAGAGAGAGAGAGAGAGAGAGAGAGAGAGAGAGAGAGAGAGAGAGAGAGAGAGAGAGAGAGAGAGAGUCAC